UAUCAGCACCCCGAGUGGUCGGGACGAUUAUUGGGCCUAAAGCAUCCGUAGCCGGCCUUACAAGUCCCCCGUUAAAAUCCAACUGCUUAACAGAUGGGCUGCGGAGGAUACUAUAAGACUAGGAGGCAGGAGAGGCAAGCGGUACUCAGUGGGUAGGGGUAAAAUCCGUUGAUCCAUUGAAGACCACCAGUGGCGAAGGCGGCUUGCCAGAAUGCGCUCGACGGUGAGGGAUGAAAGCUGGGGGAGCAAACCGG
rnacentral:rRNA from 1 species